UACGUAGGGUGCAAGCGUUAAUCGGAAUUACUGGGCGUAAAGCGUGCGCAGGCGGUCUUGCAAGACAGAUGUGAAAUCCCCGGGCUCAACCUGUGAACUGCAUUUGUGACUGCAAGACUGGAGUGCGGCAGAGGGGGAUGGAAUUCCGCGUGUAGCAGUGAAAUGCGUAGAUAUGCGGAGGAACACCGAUGGCGAAGGCAAUCCCCUGGGCCUGCACUGACGCUCAUGCACGAAAGCGUGGGGAGCAAACAGG
rnacentral:rRNA from 1 species